CCAUUACCUCAACAGGCGGGUUUCAGCCGGUGCUUCGGCGCCACUGCUGCCCACCUGCUUGACGUUACCCAUGCCUUUUUGCGUACAGUUUGUUUUCCCAGCCGGGCGUUACUGCCCCUACGGGAUAUCAAUCCACCCAUUGUAUUUGCAGUCCAUGUCUGAAAAAUAAUAAUAAUUA
rnacentral:misc_RNA from 1 species